rnacentral:rRNA from 1 species
UCGCCAGACUCCUACGGGAGGCAGCAGUGGGGAAUAUUGCACAAUGGGGGAAACCCUGAUGCAGCGACGCCGCGUGAGUGAAGAAGUAUUUCGGUAUGUAAAGCUCUAUCAGCAGGAAAGAAAAUGACGGUACCUGACUAAGAAGCCCCGGCUAACUACGUGCCAGCAGCCGCGGUAAUACGGAGGGUGCAAGCGUUACUCGGAAUCACUGGGCGUAAAGAGCGCGUAGGCGGGAUAGCAAGUCAGAUGUGAAAUCCUAUGGCUUAACCAUAGAACUGCAUUUGGAACUGUUAUUCUAGAGUAUGGGAGAGGUAGGUGGAAUUCUUGGUGUAGGGGUGAAAUGCGUAGAUAUUAGGAGGAACACCAGUGGCGAAGGCGGCCUGCUGGACGAUGACUGACGUUGAGGCUCGAAAGCGUGGGGAGCAAACAGGAUUAGAUACCCCCGUAU